rnacentral:rRNA from 1 species
UACGUAGGGUGCAAGCGUUGUCCGGAAUUAUUGGGCGUAAAGAGCUCGUAGGCGGUUUGUUGCGUCGGCUGUGAAAUCCCGAGGCUCAACCUCGGGUCUGCAGUCGAUACGAGCAAACUAGAGUGUUGCAGGGGAGACUGGAAUUCCUGGUGUAGCGGUGAAAUGCGCAGAUAUCCGAAAGAACACCGGAGGCGAAGGCGGCUUGCUGGGCGUGAUCUGACGCGUGAGGUGGCGAAAGCGUGGGGAGCAAACACGG